rnacentral:rRNA from 1 species
UACGGAGGGUGCAAGCGUUAAUCGGAAUUACUGGGCGUAAAGCGCACGCAGGCGGUCUGUCAAGUUGGAUGUGAAAUCCCCGGGCUCAACCUGGGAACUGCAUUCGAAACUGGCAGGCUGGAGUCUUGUAGAGGGGGGUAGAAUUCCAUGUGUAGCGGUGAAAUGCGUAGAGAUGUGGAGGAAUACCGGUGGCGAAGGCGGCCCCCUGGACAAAGACUGACGCUCAGGUGCGAAAGCGUGGGGAGCAAACAGG